CUUUCUCAAUAUAUACACAAAUUAAGGCGUUCAAAUUUUGUCCCCCAUUGAGCAAUGUCGACCGUUAACGGCUGCCUCGCCUCUCAAAUCUUCACCGCCGCCACCUCCGGCCGAUCAAGAGUUUCCCUCCGCCCCGCGGCCACCGCUCGCCUCAACAACUCCGGCUCCACUCCUCCCAGCCUCAUCCGCAAUGAGCCCGUCUUCGCGGCUCCCGCUCCCAUCAUCCACCCACUCUUGAAAGAAGACAUGGGAAAGGACUCCUACGAAGAAGCCAUGGCUGCACUAGAGAAGCUUCUAGCUGAGAAUGGAGUGAUAGAACCGGUGGCAGCGGCCAAAGUCAAUGAAAUCACGGCGCAGCUUGCAACAGCAGACACUGGCGCUUCCAUUUCAUCGGAGAACGUUGAGAGGCUGAAAACUGGCUUCAUCACCUUCAAAAGAGAGAAAUACGAGAAAAAUCCAGCUCUUUAUGGUGAACUCGCCAAAGGCCAGAGCCCUACGUACAUGGUUUUCGCAUGUUCAGACUCACGUGUGUGCCCCUCGCACGUGCUGGACCUUCAGCCAGGCGAAGCUUUCGUCGUCCGCAACGUCGCUAACCUAGUGCCACCAUUCGACAAGACAAAAUACUCAGGAGUGGGAGCUGCUGUUGAGUAUGCUGUUCUCCAUCUGAAGGUGAAGGAGAUUGUUGUGAUUGGGCACAGUGCAUGUGGAGGUAUCAAGGGAGUCAUGUCAUUCCCAUAUGAUGGCUCCUCAUCCACUGACUUCAUUGAGGACUGGGUGAAGAUUGCAUUACCUGCCAAGAACAAGACGUUGGCCGAGUGCUCAAAAGACACGCCAUUCGGCGAGCAAUGCACCACUUGUGAAAAGGAAGCUGUGAACGUGUCGCUAGGAAACCUGCUGUCAUACCCGUUUGUGAGGGAAGGGUUGGUGAAGAAGACGCUAGCGUUGAAGGGCGGAUACUAUGACUUUGUGAAUGGGAGUUUCGAGCUGUGGGGGCUUGACUUCAGCCUAUCGCCAUCUCUCUCUGUAUGAACUUGAGUCGCACUUCUUCCCUAUUUCUCUCUCAGCAAUCUUGCCUUUGUAUUUUUAUUUCUCAGUAAAAGAUGUGGCCACAAUUCUGCACUGGAAGCUCUAUUAGGAAAAUUGGGUAUGAGGCAGCCCAAUCUGCAGAGUGAUGGGGUUUAUCUGUAUCUAUCAUCUGGGAUUAAUACAAAUAAAAUAUUUUUUUUUGUAAAGAAAAUGAGUGCUACAAUACUUUCAGAAACCUAAUUGAUUGCUACAAUAUUUUGAGACA